GCCAGCAGCCAUAUCACCCUGCAACUCACAACACAACAGCUGAAGGUAAGCAGGUGUGAGACUGGUCAGUACCUGGAUGGGAGACCUCCUGGAAAAACUAAGGUUGCUGCUGGAA
rnacentral:rRNA from 1 species